UACAGAGGUCUCAAGCGUUGUUCGGAUUCAUUGGGCGUAAAGGGUGUGUAGGUGGCGCCGUAAGUCGGGUGUGAAAUUUCGGAGCUUAACUCCGAAACUGCAUUCGAUACUGCGGUGCUUGAGGACUGGAGAGGAGACUGGAAUUCAUGGUGUAGCAGUGAAAUGCGUAGAGAUCAUGAGGAAGACCAGUGGCGAAGGCGGGUCUCUGGACAGUUCCUGACGCUGAGGCACGAAGGCCAGGGGAGCGAACGGG
rnacentral:rRNA from 1 species